GAUACAUCCAGGCGACAAAGGCCAGGGCUCCUGUUACUAUAAGAACUCCUGCAAGAGUGAAUGUGAAUUGUGGCGCUCCCAGCUAUUCUGCUCCUGUUUCCAUCAGCCGCUUCCCUGAGGGGCUCAAGAGGCUGUGAUAAAAGCCAAAGUACCAAGGCAAAGAACAAAUGUCACAAGGUACUUUGCUAGAACCUGUGAUGUGCCUGGUACUGGGCUAGGUGCUGAGGAUAUGACCAUGUGGAGAGAAAACAAGUCCCUAAUGUCUUGGAGUCCAAGCAAAGGAGAGAUACUACACAUGUAUACAAACAAGACAAAAACAUAUUUAGAGCUGGGCUAACCACAAACCAUCACAGGAAACCCACACAGGACAAGAACUCUACUAGAACCAAGGAUUGGUCCGUCUGCUGUGUAUGAAGACAGUAAAAUGACAUAAUUUAAAUAGUGCCGUAGUAGUAGUGAAGUAAUUGCAUCCAUGAGGGAAAGGCCAAGACCAUCACUGAAGCACUGCCUGCUGGAUUCUUUAUAAAAGUAUGGAGAAGAAGACAGAUAUUAAAAUCGUAUAAUAACAAUUAUGAUAUCAUACUUACCACCUACUGUGCAUUAUGCUAAGCAUUUUAUCUUACUUUUAAUCCUCACAACAACCCUGCGUGCUGCUGCUGGAAAGAACUCCUUCUGCUGGGAUGAAGAAAUGCUGUUGGGUUGAUGCUCACAGGAACCACAAGCAGACAGAAAGCCUUUAAAAAGGAGCAAGCCCUCUCUUCCUCCUCCAACAUUGCAAUCUCCGUCCAGUACCACCUUUGGCAGAAUGUAACGGAGAGCCAGCUGGCAAAGCGGAAAUGGGGUGUGCAGAGUCCCAGUGCCAGCAUCUCAAAGCCAAAUAAAGAAAAGGGCAUUUGGAAUAUAGAGACAAAAAGUUAAUAACUGGUAUAACAAUGAUGCCUCCUAGCUUUUUCAAACGCUCAUGGGGAAAAAUCAAUUUUUAUUUUCCUGAAGCAAAAUAAUCUUUCAAAUUUGUUCAAAAAAAAAUAGUUCUAGGAAAGGAAGGAUUGUUAAUCAAAUUCUUAAGAACUACUGAUUCAGUCUUUAUGGUUUCAGGGUUUUUUAUUUCUGAUUUUCAGGAAGAUGUGUAUAUUUAAUAAGCCCAGUUUUGCCCCCAAACAUAUACUCCCUCAAAAAAAAAUUCUUUCAUCAAUAAAAAGAUCCUGAAAUUUCA
rnacentral:lncRNA from 1 species